UCGGUCGCAAUUGGUUUGCACAUUUUUAGAAGUGGUGGGGACAAAAUUCAAAUUAUAAAUAGUGGUGGGGACAUAUCCCACCCGUCCCCACCGUAAUCUACGCGUAUGUGUGAGAGGGAGA